AGCAGCCGCGGUAAUUCCAGCUCCAAUAGCGUAUAUUAAAGUUGUUGCAGUUAAAAAGCUCGUAGUUGAAUUUCGAGACCGGUUUACUGGUCGUGCUUUUGUACGUACUGGUAUUAUCGGUUUCUCCUUUCUGACGAAUCAUAAUGCCAUUAAUUUGGUGUUUUGGGGAAUCAGGACUGUUACUUUGAAAAAAUUAGAGUGUUUAAAGCAGGCUCA
rnacentral:rRNA from 1 species